rnacentral:lncRNA from 1 species
GCGGGCCUAUUGUUACGUAAAAUGGCGGUAAAACGUUAAGCAAAUAAAAGAGUAUAAAAUACUAAACUGAAACUAUAACUAAUUCACAACAUUCUGGGGGCCGCAAAAUGCAAUUACUGUUCAUGUAUUGUUCAUAAAAAAGGGUAUUGAAAAAACACUUUUAACAAUUAAAGUUCAUAUUUCCAAUGGCACCAGUUUCACA